AGCAGCCGCGGUAAUUCCAGCUCCAAUAGCGUAUAUUAAAGUUGUUGCAGUUAAAAAGCUCGUAGUUGAACUUCGGGAUCAAUGGAUUGGUCAUGCCGAUGGUGUGUACUGGUCAUAUUGGUUCUCACCUUCUAAGGAACCAUAAUGUCAUUUAUUUGAUGUUGUGGGGAAUUAGGACUGUUACCUUGAAAAAAUUAGAGUGUUUAAAGCAGGCUAACGCUUGAAUACAUUAGCAUGGAAUAAUGAAAUAGGACAUCGCAUUCUAUUUUGUUGGUUUCUAGGAUCGAUGUAAUGAUUAAUAGGGAUAGUUGGGGGCAUUAGUAUUCAAUUGUCAGAGGUGAAAUUCUUGGAUUUAUUGAAGACUAACUACUGCGAAAGCAUUUUGCCAAGGAUGUUUUCAUUAAUCAAGAACGAAAGUUAGGGGAUCGAAGACGAUCAGAUACCGUCGUAGUCUUAACCAUAAACUAUGCCGACUAGGGAUCGGAUGAUGUUAAUUUUAU
rnacentral:rRNA from 1 species